GGCGCCCGAGCCGCUACAUUGUUGCAAAUACGACGCCUGCGAUGCUGAGAAAUGUUGGCGUACACAACAAUUACACUAAUUGAACAUUCCGUAGCAGCCCUGCAAAAUGGCGGCCGAGCCGGCUCGCUGUCUGUGAUGGCCGACGAGAGUGUGUGUUUGUGUGUGUGUGUGUGUGUGUGGCUGCAGUAGUCUAGGUGUCUGUGUGUGCGCCUGUUUGUCGAGUUGUGUGUUUGUGCUCGAUGUGAGAGUAAUCCUGCUUUUUCUUUUCACUGACUGCUUUGUGUCAGGGGAAGAAUCCCCUAAUCCAUAAUUACCAACCUCAGUACGCGGCGUGUGGGAUUCAUGUCAAACCGCCGCACUGUGCCACUGCAUGAUUGGGAAUUUAUGAAUUUGUAAAAAAAAAAAAAAAAAAAGAUCUUCUCCCCUUCACGGCCACCUUCAGACCGCUAAAUGGGUUUUUACCAAAAGUGCUGACCUUGUUGUUUUCUUUACAGCUCUCUGCCCAGCACCCAGCCAGCAGCCAGACGCCCCCCCCCCCCCCUCACCCGGCCUGGCCCGGACCCGCCCCAAACCUGCACGGCCCCGCCCACAUCGGGAAACCCGCAGGAGCCUUUGGCACGCCUCUGUGCCAAAAUCAUCCGCAAGAAAACCAAAAGGCCAGACAUUCAAAGAUAUACUAAGGGGGGGGGGGGUCAAGAGGCAUGCAGAGGGUCAAUCAUAGGGGAGACACUGAGUGACUCUGCUUGACAUAUGCGUAUUUCGCUUUGCCGCAAAGAAAGCAACGACUCCUGAGGUUACUUGUCCAAGUAAGUUGUCCCAUUCACAUUAGAUUACACACACACAGACACACACACACACACACACAGAUUAUAAACAUCGCUGGAUUCAUUUAAAUCGAUGGUGUUUUGGUAAUAAUUGAAAUGUGUGCAGUUCUGCGUUUUCUCAUCGGGGAGACUGUAAAAAGACAAAGCCGAACUAAACGACUACCAGCGCUCAGGCCUUAUCUCAACUGUGUGGGUGUGGGGGGGGGAGGGAGAGGAGAGGAGAGAGAGGGAGUAGGGUAGGGAGGGAGAAAGAGAGUCUGCCGCGGUUGCAAUGCGUUUGCCGUAGCGCGUCACAUCGUUCAGUCGAGAUGCAGCAGAGAGGAAAGACGACCAUGGAUGAGUAUGACUGUGUGUGUGUGUGUGUGUGUGUGUGUGUGUGUGUGUGUGUGCGUGGCACCUCUGCUAUGUAAUGUAUAUAAUGAUCAUUAUAAACAAAAGAAUACCUGUAAUAAAUGGCCAAUCUAUGUUUAUUCACUCUUACACUACACAAAGAUAUAGUGUAGUGUUUAGGAACCAUGAGGACAGUGUGUGUGUGUGCGUGGGUUAGUUGGUACGUGUGCGUGUGUGUAUGUGUGUGUGCGUGUGUGUGUACGUGUGUGUCAAAGGGGCCUCUCCGGCCCGAGUAAAGAGGAAAUGGAUGCCUCCUUAUCACCGCCGCUCUGACAGCUGACCACCACAGCUCCUUUAGCAACGAGCGCAGCGCUCACUCGCUGCUGCCCGACGACGGCGCCGCACGGAACGCCGCGCCCUGAUCCCGCAGACGCCUUCGCCCCCGUCAGCGCGGCCAUUCAGAGAGGGCGAGCGAGGCGGCCGCGGCCUCGCGCGUGAAGCAAGCGAAAGAGACACACUAAAAAGGAAGUGGCGGUUUCCUGUCUCUCUCUCGUGACGCGGAGUAGAAGAGAGCAAUGAUUGACGCCAGCGGAGGUCUGCUGGCUGAUGGCGAGGAGAGGCCGUCCUCCACGAGCACGCCGGCUUCCGUCCUCGACUGCAGACAGCAGCCGUCUUCAUUUUCCCAACUCGAUUUACGGGCAUCGGGAGACGGCGAGGCGCGCCCGCCUCCCUCGAAUGCAAUCAGCCUGCUUGUGUGUGUGUUUUUAAGAGGAAAUCGGAGGGCGCCAUCUUCAUCGGCUCCUCUUUUGUAGGCUGGUUUUCUCCCUGAAAUCCUUCCUGAGUGUACGAGGAUUUUCUUUUGCUAAUUGUGAUCUCCCUUUUAGGCUGCGUCAGAGAAGACAGAAGAUUCUAGUGCGGCCUAUAAACUCACCUCAUAAAGAUUUAUUUCCUGAGAUGUAGCGAUGAUUAGGAGGAAGCGAGAGAGAGAGAAGAGAGGGAAAGAUGAGUCCAUAGCCCCGGGGGAGAGGACGAGGUGAGACGGAACCACUUCUCCGCUCGCCACCGGUUGAAGCUCUCCAACCAUCGGAGCGCCAUCUGCUGGCUCGGUGGGGCGGGACAGCUGGUGUUGUGAAUCAGGCCGCCGCAAUCCAAGGAACGGCUACUUCCCAACACCAGGGUCUCACCCUCACCCCUCUCACCCCUCUGACCCCUCUGACCCCAUCGCCUCGGGCCGACAACGAGCCGGUCAGGGUAUGUUUCAAAGCGGGUGCUUUAUACUCUCUUGUGCCGCAUGAAAUGGUCAUCGAUCACUUGUAAUACUGGGAAAUCUAUGUGAAGAAUAUGUUCCUUUUGCAUCAUAUCCCCUGAAAUUAGGAAUCAGAAGAAAGUACAACAAACAGCAAAUAUCCCAAAUAAAAAUCUACCCUGUAGAACACACACAAAAAAUGAUGACAUGGAUGACAAUAAAAAAUGUCUGUUUUCCAAACAAAUUAAAUGUGAAUUUCCAAAGAUAUGACUGUGGUUUUGUCUUUUAAUAAAAGCUAACUGAAUUUG